UACGGAGGGUGCAAGCGUUGCUCGGAAUUAUUGGGCGUAAAGGGUAGGUAGGUGGUCUCAUUUGUCUGGGGUGAAAGCCUUGAGCUUAACUCAAGAAGUGCCUUAGAAACGGUGAGACUAGAGUCUUGGAGAGGGUCGUGGAAUUCCCGGUGUAGCGGUGAAAUGCGUAGAGAUCGGGAGGAACACCAGAGGCGAAGGCGGCGACCUGGACAAGUACUGACACUCAACUACGAAAGCGUGGGGAGCAAACAGG
rnacentral:rRNA from 1 species